rnacentral:rRNA from 1 species
UACGAAGGGGGCUAGCGUUGUUCGGAUUUACUGGGCGUAAAGCGCACGUAGGCGGAUCUUUAAGUCAGAGGUGAAAUCCCAAGGCUCAACCUUGGAACUGCCUUUGAUACUGGGGAUCUUGAGUCCGGGAGAGGUGAGUGGAACUGCGAGUGUAGAGGUGAAAUUCGUAGAUAUUCGCAAGAACACCAGUGGCGAAGGCGGCUCACUGGCCCGAUACUGACGCUGAGGCGCGACAGGCGUGGGGAGGCAAACAGG